rnacentral:misc_RNA from 1 species
AUCAACAGGCGAGGAUUUUCAGCGGCUGCUGCUGCACCACAAGGAGUUGUGUCCAGAGGAGGAGCUUCCAUGGUCAAGAAAACUGCGGAGGAGAAGAUUGGAUCCGCCGAGAAGGUCGCAUGGAUUCCAGACCCCCGUACCGGAUGCUAUAGACCAGAGAAUUUAGCGGAGGAGAUUGAUGCGGCCGAGCUAAGAGCUAUGCUGUUGAAGAAGAAUUGAACUAAGAAACAAAUAAAGUCUUUUUCUUGGUUUAUAGACCUUGUAUAAAGAAACAAGAAGGGAUGGAUAUCUCAAGAAUUGGCUGCUGAUCUUUGCGUGU